GAGACGGAGAGACUGACCACAGGGAACCACAUUACUAUCCACACUGUCUCAUUCAACUGCACAGACAGCUCAGCCAAUGACUUUCUGAAGAAACUGGCUCACCAAACUGGGGGUCGGUACCACCGUUGUCAUGACAAUGUGGAUGCGCUCAGUGGGCUGUUGGAAUCGGGCCUUAGUGAUGGGGACGAACCUACCCUGCCGGCCCUCGAGGGAGAUGACUUGAGGAGACUGGCUCAGGAAAUUGACAAACUGAGACAUUUCCGGAAGCAGGCACAGGUCUUCAGGGAAAUCAUUUUGGAAAAGAAUCCAGAGGAAACAAGAAUCAACCAAACAGACUAGAUUACUGUAAACCCAAGAAUUUGACUUCAAUGAUUUUAUAUACACAUUUGUAAUUUAGAUUUUCAAUGACUCAAUAUAUGAAGAAAGUGGUUAAGAGAUUAAAACUGGUGUGCAUGAAUUGUCAGAUUAACCAUAUACUGUACACAGUUCUAUGUGGGUGUGCAGUAUGCUUUGUUCAGAUUGACAAACCUCUGCUUUUCUUCAUUUAAAACUAGAAUGCUUAGUUGCUACAUCCAUUUUUUACUUAUAAAUUAUUUCUAUAUAUACCCAUUGAUUCUAGAAGAAUAUAAUGUCCUGUAUAAAUGCCUCAUGAGCUUACUUCAACUGUCAUACCCAUCAGAAAGCUUGUUUUACUCCAAUGUUUGAAGAAAAAAAAGUAAAUGUCAAACACUGUACAGCCUAAAGAGGCAGGGCUGACUGCUUGGUAUUGUUUCUCUAGUUUGAACUAAAAACAGCUAAUAACCUUGUGUUAUAUUGUUUCUAUGCACC